rnacentral:rRNA from 1 species
CCUACGGGCGGCAGCAGUGGGGAAUAUUGCGCAAUGGGCGAAAGCCUGACGCAGCGACGCCGCGUGAGGGAUGAAGGUCUUCGGAUCGUAAACCUCUGUCAGCAGGGAAGAACGGUCACUGUGCUAAUCAGCAGUGAAUUGACGGUACCUGCAAAGGAAGCACCGGCUAACUCCGUGCCAGCAGCCGCGGUAAUACGGAGGGUGCGAGCGUUAAUCGGAAUUACUGGGCGUAAAGCGCUCGUAGGCGGUAUGUCAAGUCAAGGGUGAAAUCCCCGGGCUCAACGUGGGAACUGCCUUUGAAACUGGCAAACUGGAGUGUGGGAGAGGAUAGUGGAAUUCCAGGUGUAGGAGUGAAAUGCGUAGAGAUCUGGAGGAACAUCAGUGGCGAAGGCGACUAUCUGGCACAUAACUGACGCUGAGGAGCGAAAGCGUGGGUAGCAAACAGGAUUAGAUACCCCGGUAGUC